UACAACCUCAAAUGCUUUAUUGAAAAAGAGGCCGUUGAUCAUCCUUUGUGUUGUCUUUGCCACGAGCCUGCUGUUAUUAGGUGCAAAGAGUGUCUUCCUGUGGAGUGGUUCUGUGGAGACUGUGAUGUACUGCAUCACAAACAACAGCCACUCCACAACAGAGAAUGUGUUUUCAUGGAUUUUUGGAAGCCAUUCCUCCAACCUCACAUGUUGUCAAAGGUGAAGAUCGAUAUUGAAUCCAUGAGCAAGCUUGCAUAUUGCCAUAUGUGAAGGUGGCACAAUGUUCCUGUGAAGGCACAAACUUCACUGUGGUUCCAGGCAAAGCAGGCGUUUUGACUUGCAUCUGCCAAUAUAUAUUUGCCAAACAUGCCAGCAUCAGUGGACCCCUGACUUGAAAGACCUACUUAGGAGUGGAUAUUGGCCUGCUUCAGUGACCAGUUCAACAUUUUAUACUCUGGACCUCCUGAGCUCCUUUCAGGAACUCCAAGUCAUC